UCUCUCUCUCUCCAAGACACCAUUCUUCAUUUUCUAAAGAAGAAGUCACAGGCCUUUUGAACCGUGCAGCACAGAAUAAGAAGCCCCCAAGUUCCAAGAAGAGUUUUCCAAAUAGCUAUUAAUACACUACUGACCAGAUCCAGAGCUGCAGCAUGUGAAGCAGAAGUGACUUUAAAGCCCAUUCUCCCUCUUAUACUAGUCCAGUCCAUUGCUACAUGUUGGAGGCAAAGGAGGAGCAAGGGGAGAGUUAAAAUGGUGGUUGUUCUUUCUCACCUGUUAAUGAUGUUAUGUUGGAGUGUUGUCUGUUAACCCCCUAUCCCUUCCCUGAGUGAGUGCAGAAGCAUGUCUGAGCA